rnacentral:rRNA from 1 species
AAACCAGCACCUCAAGUGGUCAGGAGGAUUAUUGGGCCUAAAGCAUCCGUAGCCUGUUCUGUAAGUUUUCGGUUAAAUCUGUACGCUCAACGUACAGGCUGCCGGGAAUACUGCAGAGCUAGGGAGUGGGAGAGGUAGACGGUACUCGGGAGGAAGUGGUAAAAUGCUUUGAUCUCUCGAUGACCACCUGUGGCGAAGGCGGUCUACCAGAACACGUCCGACGGUGAGGGAUGAAAGCUGGGGGAGCAAACCGGAGUAGAAACCCGAGUAGUCC